rnacentral:lncRNA from 1 species
ACGCCGGAGCUCCGGGAGCUGACGUGGCUUUUGCCACGUCAAUUAAUGAGUCUCGCUGGAUUUUAUUUUUCCUUUUUCAUUAAAAAAUAAAAAUAUUAAGACACACUAAUUAAACACCCUAAAUUAAUAAAAAAAUAAUUAAAAAACAAAACUCUAGAAAAUGAUGAAUGUUCAUCUUCUUCAAAAACUUUUAUCCUCAUCUUCAUCAUUUUACCCAGAAAACACAGAUUAAUCAGGUUCUUCAUUUUCCCCAAACAUCCUGCCACCAUCGUCUUCAAAUUAUUUCUAGAACAUUCAUUCUCCAAACAUCACAAUCUUUUUAUUUAAAUUAUUACCAAAACAUUCAUCCUCUAGAAAGGGGGUGGUUGCGGUGGUCUUGGAUCUGUAGGUUCGAUGGAGGUUGAUGGGUCCGAAUGAAGGGGGAAAUCGUGACGUGGAGGGGAGAAGAGUGUGGUGGCUAUUGGUGGCUUCUUCCUCAGAUCUGCAUUUUGGGAGUGGUGGUGAGUUUUCUGGGUUGUUGAUUUUGGGUUUUAUUGGGUGAUUUUGGGGGUGGUGGUUUUUCUGGAAGAGUGUAUGUACUUCAAGAAUUCUGAAUCAAGGCUGUAAAUGAAUUCUGAAUCAGCUUGCCAAUAACUUACCAUGAGCCAGUGCUUAGGUUUGUUGUGAGAAAAUGUUGUGAGAAAACGCAUAUGAAUGAUGAAAAGGGAUGAUGAAAGGGUUUAAUAAAGUGAUUGAAUCUGGAUUUAAAUUAGAGAUUUUGUCUGGUUCAGAUUUAGUAGUAAUUUAAGGAAUUGUUAAUUAGGGAUUAGAUUUUGUUAAUUAGGGAUUUAAGAAUUAAUGUUGUUAUGGGUUUCUUAAUUUUUUUAAAUGAAAAAGAAAAGAAAAAAGCCAACUGGACUCAUUAAUUGACGUGGCAAGGCCACAUCAGCUCCCGGAGCUCCGGCGUUGACCUAGCCGGC